UACGGGGGAUGCGAGCGUUAUCCGGAUUUAUUGGGUUUAAAGGGCGCGUAGGCGGGACGCCAAGUCAGCGGUAAAAGACUGCAGCUAAACUGUAGCACGCCGUUGAAACUGGCGACCUUGAGACGAGACGAGGGAGGCGGAACAAGUGAAGUAGCGGUGAAAUGCUUAGAUAUCACUUGGAACCCCGAUAGCGAAGGCAGCUUCCCAGGCUCGAUCUGACGCUGAUGCGCGAGAGCGUGGGUAGCGAACAGG
rnacentral:rRNA from 2 species